AAAGUCUUAGUCUUAAACUUAUUAUUACUUAUAAAUAAAAUUAUACAUGCAAGCCUCCACAAACCUGUGAGUCCAUAGCAUCAGGCACGCCCACCGCAGCCCACAACGCUAAGCAGCUACUUGCCACACCCACACGGCCCUCAGCAGUAAUUAACAUUGGGCGAUAGGUGAAAACCUGACCCAGUUAUAAUUAUCCCAACGCUGGUAAAUUUCGUGCCAGCUACCGCGGUUAUACGAACCAAGCUAAAAGUAAUAAAACAACGGCGUAAAGCGUGGCCACUUUAAACACCUAAAAAAUUAUAACCAAACAACACUCACAUGGUAAAAUAUAGAAUAUUAGAAGCCCUUAGUUAUAAUUAACAGACACCUAGGACCCACGACCCCUAAGACACAAACUAGGAUUAGAUACCCUACUAUGCUUAGGAAUUAAUCACGACAAAAAUUACUAACAAUUUGUCCGCCAGAAGAUUACGGGCGAAAGCCUAAAACUCAAAAGACUUGACGGUGUCCCACUUCUACCUAGAGGAGCCUGUUUCAUAAUCGAUAACCCCCGCUCAACCCGACCCCUCCUUGAAUCACAUUCAGCCUAUAUACCGCCGUCCCUCUUGCUUACCCUUUGAAAGACAUAACAGUAAGCCCAAUAGUUAAUUAACUAAAAAAUCAGGUCAAGGUGUAGCUUAUGGAGGGGAGAAAAUGGGCUACAUUCUCUAUUAUAGAUCACCACGGAAAGUACCCUGAAAUAAAGUACACAAAGGUGGAUUUAGUAGUAAGUUGAAUUAGAGUAUUCAACUAAAACUAGCCCUGGGACAUGUACACACCGCCCGUCACCCUCCUCAACCCUUAACCCCAAUUAAAUUUAUAAUAAAUAUAAACCCAACAAGAUGAGGCAAGUCGUAACAAGGUAAGCGCACUGGAAAGUGCGCUUGGAAUAU
rnacentral:ncRNA from 1 species